rnacentral:rRNA from 1 species
GAACUGAAGAGUUUGAUCAUGGCUCAGAUUGAACGCUGGCGGCAGGCCUAACACAUGCAAGUCGAGCGGCAGCACGGGUACUUGUACCUGGUGGCGAGCGGCGGACGGGUGAGUAAUGCCU